CCCACCUCUAUUAAGAUAUAUAUAUAUCUGAAUUGGCCGGGCACAGUGGCUCACGCUACAGGCAUAAUCCCAGCCCUUUGGGAGGCUGAGGCAGGUGGAACACGAGGGCAGGAGAUCAAGACCAUCCUGACUACACGGUGAAACUCCGUCUCUACUAAAAAUACAAAAACAAAAUUAGCCAGGCAUGGUGGCAGGCACCUGUAGUCCCAGCUACUCAGGAGGCUGAGGUGGGACAAUGGAGUGAACCCCAUAGGCGGAGCUUGCGGUGAGCCGAGAUCGCGCCACUGCACUCUAGCCUGGGUGACAGAGCAAGACUCCGCCCCCCCCCCAAAAAAUUAUAUAUAUACACAUAUAUAUGCAAUGUGAUGUUUGAGCUGGAAGAUCCUAAAGCAAUCACUUAAUCCAAGGUUAAAUACAAUAUAUAUGGCCGGGCGCAGUGGCUUAUGCCUGUAAUCCCAGCACUUUGCAAAGCCAAGGCAGGCAGAUUGCUCCAGGUCAGCAGUUUGAGACCAGCCUGCCAACAUGGUAAAAACCCCAUCUCUACCAAAAAUAAGAAAAUUAACCGGGUGUGGUGGUGGGUGCCUAUAAUCC
rnacentral:lncRNA from 10 species